rnacentral:rRNA from 1 species
GUGAGGAGUUUUGCGCAAUGGGGGAAACCCUGACGCAGCAACGCCGCGUGAGCGAAGAAGGCCUUCGGGUCGUAAAGCUCUGUCAAGUGGGAAAAACGUGUCCCGGUCAAUAGCCGGGAGAUCUGAUGGUACCACUGGAGGAAGCACCGGCUAACUCCGUGCCAGCAGCCGCGGUAAUACGGAGGGUGCAAGCGUUGUUCGGAAUUAUUGGGCGUAAAGAGCGUGUAGGCGGUUUAGCAAGUCAGAUGUGAAAGCCCUGGGCUUAACCCGGGAAGUGCAUUUGAAACUGCUUUACUUGAGUAUGGGAGAGGAGAGUGGAAUUCCUGGUGUAGAGGUGAAAUUCGUAGAUAUCAGGAGGAACAUCUGUGGCGAAGGCGACUCUCUGGACCAAUACUGACGCUGAGACGCGAAAGCGUGGGUAGCAAACAGGAUUAGAAACCCUAGUAGUCC